CGCCCUUCAGAGGGGGACAACAGUUGGAAACGACUGCUAAUACCGCAUACGAUCCAAUCUCGGCAUCGAGACUGGAUGAAAGGUGGCCUCUAUUUAUAAGCUAUCACUGAAGGAGGGGAUUGCGUCUGAUUAGCUAGUUGGAGGGGUAACGGCCCACCAAGGCGAUGAUCAGUAGCCGGUCUGAGAGGAUGAACGGCCACAUUGGGACUGAGACACGGCCCAG
rnacentral:rRNA from 1 species